GACGAACGCUGGCGGCGUGCUUAACACAUGCAAGUCGAACGAUGAAGCCGGAGCUUGCUCUGGUGAAUUAGUGGCGAACGGGUGAGUAACACGUGAGUAACCUGCCCUUGACUCUGGGAUAACUGCGGGAAACUGUAGCUAAUACUGGAUACGACCCUCGGCGGCAUCGCCAGGGGGUGGAAAGAAUUUCGGUCAAGGAUGGACUCGCGGCCUAUCAGCUAGUUGGGGGGGUAACGGCUCACCAAGGCGACGACGGGUAGCCGGCCUGAGAGGGUGACCGGCCACACUGGGACUGGGACACGGCCCAGACUCCUACGGGAGGCAGCAGUGGGGAAUAUUGCACAAUGGGCGCAAGCCUGACGCAGCAACGCCGCGUGAGGGAUGACGGCCUUCGGGUUGUAAACCUCUUUUAGUAGGGAAGAAGCGAAAGUGACGGUACCUGCAGAAAAAGCACCGGCUAACUACGUGCCAGCCGCCGCCGUAA
rnacentral:rRNA from 1 species